UAGGGAAUCUUCGGCAAUGGGGGGAACCCUGACCGAGCAACGCCGCGUGAGUGAAGAAGGUUUUCGGAUCGUAAAGCUCUGUUGUUAAGGAAGAACGAGUGUGAGAAUGGAAAGUUCAUGCUGUGACGGUACUUAACCAGAAAGGGACGGCUAACUACGUGCCAGCAGCCGCGGUAAUACGUAGGUUCCGAGCGUUGUCCGGAUUUAUUGGGCGUAAAGCGAGCGCAGGCGGUUAGAAAAGUCUGAAGUGAAAGGCAGUGGCUCAACCAUUGUAGGCUUUGGAAACUGUUUAACUUGAGUGCAGAAGGGGAGAGUGGAAUUCCAUGUGUAGCGGUGAAAUGCGUAGAUAUAUGGAGGAACACCGGUGGCGAAAGCGGCUCUCUGGUCUGUAACUGACGCUGAGGCUCGAAAGCGUGGGGAGCGAACAGG
rnacentral:rRNA from 1 species